rnacentral:tRNA from 1 species
GGCCCGAUGGUCUAGCGGUUAAGACUUCCGUCCCUCAAACGAUGGAGAACUCCAGUUCGAAUCUGGAUCGGGCCA